UACGGGGGGGGCAAGCGUUGUUCGGAAUUACUGGGCGUAAAGCGUGCGCAGGCGGCGCGUUAAGACAGGUGUGAAAGCCCCGAGCUUAACUUGGGAAUUGCGCUUGUGACUGGCGAGCUGGAGUGUGGCAGAGGGAGGUGGAAUUCCACGUGUAGCAGUGAAAUGCGUAGAGAUGUGGAGGAACACCGAUGGCGAAGGCAGCCUCCUGGGCCAGCACUGACGCUCAUGCACGAAAGCGUGGGGAGCAAACAGG
rnacentral:rRNA from 1 species